AUGGGAAGAUAUGAGAGAGUAGUCAGAAGAUAUUUAGGAAUGACAGAAAGGCGGUGGGAAUCUUCUGAGGAAACCUGUGAACUAGACAGGAAUCUUUCUUCCACCUCAAAGAUGAGGAAGCACCAAUUCAGAUGCUCCACAGAUGGACCCAGUGCAUAUGAGAGAGGACUCAGAUGGAAGCCAGCACUCCAGCUGUGUGCACAAGACAGGAGGCCAAAUGGCAUUUGCCAUUUGUGGCAAAAAUAUCCUUAAAUCAGCCCAAUGAACAAGCUCUUCUAAUCUUAACUGUAGUAAAAAGUUCCAUUUGGGGUGGGCCUGGGGUUAGAGCGCAGUGUACUUAGCUUGCACAAGGCCCUGUUUAAUCACUGAGUGUGUCUAUAGGCAAAAUUUCACUUUAGUUGAUUUGCAUCAGAAAUAAAUGCUUGUUCUCCUUUACUCGGUUUUCCAGAGAGACCUGAGGUGCACUUCCCAGGAAAAAGUCCUUCUGUUUGAUAUAUGGAUAACCAAGAGUACUUCCCACCCUAGUCCUCGUCAACCUUCCUGUUGCAUAUGUGAGGAGAGGGAGAAGGACUGGAGGGAGUCUGAGUUAAAAUACACGAUGCUGUGCUUGAUAAAGGCCUUCCUGUCCUAACAUUUCCUUUGCUGGGUAGGUAAACAAGCUUGUCUGAUCCUAAGGGCUAUGUUCAGAGAUGGGAGCAGGCAGAAUAAUGCCUCCCACCCCAGAUGUCCAUGUUCUAAUUCCUGUUAGGUUACAAAGCAAAGAUGGAAUCAAAAUUGCUAAACCACUAAGCUUGAGAUUGGGAUAUUAUCUGGGAUUAUCUGAGUGGGUUCAUAUAAAUAGAAGAAAGACAUGGAAGAGAAAAAAUAUGCAGGGAGAUGGCAGCAUGAGAACGACUUGACUCAACAUUGAUGACUCUGAAGGCAGAGGAAAGAACCAGGAGCUGAGUGGCCUCUAUGAGCUGGAAUGGGUAAAGAACUGAGAUCUCCCUGAGAGCUUCCAGAAGGAAUGCAGCCUGCUGAUACCUGGCCUUAGCUCAGGGAGGAUGCUGGAUUUCUGAUCUACAGAACUGUAGGAUAAUAAAUGCAUAUUGUUUGAAGCAACUAGGUUUGUGGUCAUUUGUCACAGCAGCAACAGAAAAUUAAUGUAUUGAAUUCACUUUCAUCAGGAAUAAAGUUAAUGAUGAUAGCUAGUAUUUUUUGAGUGCUUACCAUGUGGUAGCCAUUUUUCUGAGCACUUCAUAUGUAUUAACUCAUUUAGUCAUCUGUAAUUAUCCUGUGAGGUGGAGUAACUUGUGAAAGGUCAUUAUUACUGGAAGCUGUACAGCCAGGAUUUAAACCCAGCUGAUUGGUUCCAGUGAGAUAACACCUAAAAUCCUAUAUUGCCUCUUGGAUUGAUCUUGUAGAUAUUUACUUAUGGAAGCAAUGAACUUGAAGUCACGCAUAUUCACCUUUAAUUUUUUGGCCCUGUUGCUUCCAAUUUGUAAGAACUUACACAAUCUGCAUAGUUUAGCUGAGGCUUAACAUGUCCACACAGUGGGAGUAAUGUGACCCACCUACAAGGACAUGAGAAUCAAACACGAUGGUCCUGAUAUAUAGUAGGUAACAGAACACAUUUGCUGA
rnacentral:lncRNA from 1 species